UAACACGUAAACAACCUGCCUUCAGGAUGGGGACAACAGACGGAAACGACGUGCUAAUACCGAAUAAGUUCCAAGGGCCGCAUGGCCCAUGGAAGAAAAAGGUGGCCUCUACCUGUAAGACUAUCGCCUGAAGAGGGUUUGCGUCUGAUUAGCUGGUUGGAGGGGUAACGGCCCACCAAGGCGACGAUCAGUAGCCGGUCUGAGAGGAUGAACGGCCACACUGGAACUGAGACACGGUCCAG
rnacentral:rRNA from 1 species